UGCGCAGGCGGCCAUGUGUGUCAGGUGUGAAAUACCGGGGCUUAACCCCGGAACUGCGCCUGAAACUACAUGGCUAGAGUACUGGAGAGGGUAGUGGAAUUCACGGUGUAGCAGUGAAAUGCGUAGAUAUCGUGAGGAGCACCAGAGGCGAAGGCGACUACCUGGACAGUUACUGACGCUCAGGCACGAAAGCGUGGGGAGCCAAAGGGAUUAGAUACCCCUGUAGUCCACGCCCUAAACGGUGCACACUAGGUCUUGGCGGAUUCGACCCCGCCAGGGCCCAAGCUAACGCGUUAAGUGUGCCGCCUGAGGACUACGGCCGCAAGGCUAAA
rnacentral:rRNA from 1 species